UACGUAGGGUGCAAGCGUUAAUCGGAAUUACUGGGCGUAAAGCGCACGUAGGCGGCUUUGCAAGUUAGAGGUGAAAGCCCGGGGCUCAACUCCGGAAUUGCCUUUAAGACUGCAUCGCUAGAAUUGUGGAGAGGUAAGUGGAAUUCCGAGUGUAGAGGUGAAAUUCGUAGAUAUUCGGAAGAACACCAGUGGCGAAGGCGACUUACUGGACACAUAUUGACGCUGAGGUGCGAAAGCGUGGGAGCAAACAGG
rnacentral:rRNA from 1 species